UGAGCAGCACCUUGAUUUCAGGAGGGAGAAGGGGAAGUUCGUUCUGGGUACUCUGAGACCCACGCAGGCGAAGUCUGGAGCCGCGACAUGGAUGCAGUGAGCUAUGACGAUGUGCAUGUGAACUUCACUCAGGAAGAAUGGGUUUUGCUGGAUCCUUCCCAGAAGAGUCUCUACAAAGAUGUGAUGCUGGAGACCUACAGGAACCUCAGUGCCAUAGGCUACAAUUGGGAAGACCAUCAUACUGAAGAACACUGUCAAAGUUCUAGAAGACGCGGAAGGUAAUGUUCAUGUAUAAGCUGAUACGACUUCGCCUCUGAAGAAACCGUAAUAUGUCCUGGAAGUUUUAAAGAACAGAAACAGCGUCAAAAAGUAUUCCUUUAAGUGUAUAGAUGAUUCUUAAAUUCUCAUCAAACCAUGCACCUCAACGUCAGGUAUCUGAUUUGUAUUUGCUAGACAUUUCUCAAACAAGGAAGACAUGGAAACAGUGCCUUAACACAUAUCACUAUUUGAAUCAUAGCACCAUACAGAAAAUCCCUAUGAAUGCUAGGAAUGUGGAAAUUCUUCUGUGUGUUCUGGUUCACUUUACAAAUGGACUAUGACUCACACUGUGGGAAAAGUUUUGAAUGCAAUCAGUACGGAAAAGCUCUGAGUUCUUUCAGCUCUUUUUAGUUAUAUGAAAAACCUCAUAUAGAAAAAGGAUGCUGUGAUUGGGAGUGUAAUAAAUGUUCUUACAGUCACUGGUGUCUUCAAAGACUCAAGAGAUGAUCGCAUAAUGUGGGGAAUAGCAUGAUUGUAACAAAGUGACAAAACCUUAAGUUCUGAUUCCUCCUUACAUCAGACCACAUUGUAAAAAUAAUAAGCCAUAGAGAUAAAAAAGAUUAAUCAUGU
rnacentral:lncRNA from 1 species